rfam:Nicotiana attenuata strain TT chromosome 2, whole genome shotgun sequence.
AGAGACGAGGAAGGGCGUAGUAAUCGACGAAAUGCUUCGGGGAGUUGAAAAUAAGCAUAGAUCCGGAGAUUCUGAAUAGGGCAACCUUUCGAACUGCUGCUGAAUCCAUGGGCAGGCAAGAGGCAACCUGGCGAACUGAAACAUCUUAGUAGCCAGAGGAAAAGAAAGCAAAAGUGAUUCCCGUAGUAGCGGCGAGCGAAAUGAGAGCAGCCUAAACCGUGAAAACGGGACAACUUAAAAAAUGGAUAACCAAUGAGUUUGACUUUAAAAUUUACAAAGACUCAAAUUGGAGGUUUUUUAAGUUGGGGAGACUAGAAUUUCU